AAAAUUUGCAUGUAAUCUCAUUCUCUAGUUUUAAAAUUUUCACAUUAUAUUCUUGUGUUCAUGUUGUGUUCCCUUAGUUUCUCUAUCCCAAAUUUUAAAACAAUCAUAUUUUAAAAUUUUCAUAUUCUUGUGUUCAUGAUGUGUACCCUUAGUUUCUCUAUCCCAAUUUUUUCCAACAGUGCUAGAUUAUUAUAUAAAAAUAAUGUUGUAGAUGAUGUGUUCUUAGCACAUCAAGACGGAUGAAAAUCAAUGUCGGAUAAAAUCAAAGUCUUUUUUUGUGGGUAGGAUAAAAACAAAGUCUAAGGAAGAGAGACAUAUGAUAUGGUUCGCAAGCAAUAAAAAAGAACCAGUACACAUAAAAUCAAAUGAAGUGGAGAGAGAUAUAGACAGUCCAUGUGAAGUUCGUGUGCAUCCUGUUCUGUAUGUCGACUCUCUUGUUGCAUUGUCUUCUCCAAUCACACCCACCUUCAUCUUUCCAUUGGUCAUUUCCCUAUAUAUAUAGACAUACUAUAUGAUCAACUGGCGUUUGGUAUUAGAAAAAACAAUAAAAAUAUAUCUCAAUGUCUAAUCAUAUCCCGUUUAGUUAGUCUGCUCUAGAACCUACUACUUCCUUCCAAACUAUCUUAUGUUUAUAUUUGUUAAUUAUUAUGCAAAAGAUCUUCGGAAAGUGGAGAGAUUAGUUCAAUAUUAUUAUUUUCAUAUCAUGACCCAUUCCUUCAAUGCUGGAAUUGUACAUUAUUAUAAAACACAAACUACUAUUAUCGAGGACGAUUGGUGCAUGUCUGUCCACUGGCUUCUAUAAGAAUACUUACUGAAAGCAAGAAAGAAAAAAAAAUCUUGAUCAAGAAAAAGUUACUAUUAUCUUUAAAUGUGUAAGGGAUCUAUGUAAAUAAUUUAUGAAUUCGU
rnacentral:lncRNA from 1 species